rnacentral:sRNA from 1 species
AAAUAGAUAAGAGUAAUUAAGUUUUGAAGAUUCAUAAACACAAAGAAAAACUAAAGGAUAAAAGAUGGAUCCUUUGGACAAAUCCCAAAGUGAUCUAUUUAUAGUAAAAUGUUGAAACUCUAGAUUCGUUAGAAGACAAGAGACUUGAGGCGGUUUGGGCGAAUGCUCGAUCUUAGGGAUCGAGUAAAGAGGGUGCUGCAAAGUCUGCGCCUUUGUGUCUAUGCUCCGAGUGAUCAAUUGGUCGAGUAGAUGAUUCUUCCUCUCAUAUCCGUAUGCUUAGAUGUCUAGUUUAGUGGGGAAUGAGGAGGAUCCAAAGACGCUUUGAUAGCUCAACAAGUCUUGUAAAGUUGGUCACCCUUGGUCGAGUAAAUGGGUCGAGUAGAGGAUCUGCUGCUUCAUCUUAGGCUGCCUUGAUCGAGUAAGAGGGUUGAGUGAAUUGCAGCCUCUUUGUAGCUGCCUGGAUCGAGUAAAGAGGUCGAGUGAAAUGAUGCCUCUUCUAUAGCUGCUUGGAUCGAGUGAAUGGAUCGAGUAGAGUACUUUCUAUCUCCUUCUACACCUGAAAACACACCAAAACAUGCAAUGCCUAUGCAAGAUGAUCCUAGAUGCCUAAGUAUGCGAAAU